UACGUAGGGUGCAAGCGUUGUCCGGAAUUAUUGGGCGUAAAGAGCUCGUAGGCGGUCUGUCGCGUCUGCUGUGAAAACUCAGGGCUUAACCCUGAGCUUGCAGUGGGUACGGGCAGACUAGAGUGCGGUAGGGGAGACUGGAAUUCCUGGUGUAGCGGUGAAAUGCGCAGAUAUCAGGAGGAACACCGGUGGCGAAGGCGGGGUCUCUGGGCCGUAACUGACGCUGGAGGAGCGGAAAGCGUGGGGAGCGAACAGG
rnacentral:rRNA from 1 species